rnacentral:rRNA from 1 species
GAUGAACACUGGCGGCGUGCUUAACACAUGCAAGUCGAGCGAGAAGUCUUGAAUAGAUUCUUCGGAUGAAAUUGAAAAUGGAAAGCGGCGGCCGGGUGAGUAACGCGUAGGCAAUCUGCCACCUACAAAGGGAUAGCAUUUGGAAACGAAUAUUACUACCUUAUGAAACUUAACUAGUGCAUGCUAGGGAGGUCAAAGAUUUAUCGGGAUGGGAUGGGCCUGCGUCUGAUGAGCUAGUUGGUGAGGUCACGGCCCACCAACGCGACGAUCAGUAGCCGACCAGGGUGAGGGGACGGCCACGUACUAAGAGAGAGACGGGCCAAACACCGGCGGGAGGAGGCAGGAGGAAAGAUUGAACAAUGGGGGAAAGCCGGAGGAAGCAACGGUGCGUGAACAAGGCAGGCCGUUGGGUCAGAAAGUUCUGUUCUAGGGGAGGGAAACUGACGGUAACCGAUGAGAAAGCCCCGGCUAACUACGUG